rnacentral:rRNA from 1 species
CCUACGGGUGGCAGCAGUGAGGAAUAUUGGUCAAUGGCCGGAAGGCUGAACCAGCCAAGCCGCGUGCAGGACGAAGGUGCCAAGCAUUGUAAACUUCUUUUGUCAAGGGACAAAAUCAGGCUCGAGAGCCUGACCGAGGGUACUUGAAGAAAAAGCAUCGGCUAACUCCGUGCCAGCAGCCGCGGUAAUACGGAGGAUGCGAGCGUUAUCCGGAUUUAUUGGGUUUAAAGGGUGCGUAGGCGGGCGGUUAAGUCAGGGGUAAAAUGCCGGGGCUCAACCCCGGCCGGGCCUUUGAAACUGGCUGUCUUGAGAUGUCGAGAGGUAGGCGGAAUGCGCAGUGUAGCGGUGAAAUGCUUAGAGAUUGCGCAGAACUCCGAUUGCGAAGGCAGCAUACCGGCGGCGAUCUGACGCUGAGGCACGAAAGCGUGGGUAGCGAACAGGAUUAGAUACCCUUGUAGUC